CCCCUGCCCUUGUGGGGUGUCCUCCCCACAGGCAGCACUCACCCGGAUCUCCACCAGCUCCUCCACGUAGUUGAAGAGCAGAGGGUUGAUCUCCCGCAGCUUCAGCACCGGCCGUGACACCAUCAGUGCCAGAAACGAUGCUCCAGGACCACCCGGAUGUUGGGCUCAUCCUCACCAGGGUCCUGCAGGGGGAAAGGGGGCUCGGAGAACUAAAGAAUCAUGGAAUGGCUCGGGUUGAACCUUAAAGGUCAUCCCAUUCCAUCCCCUGCCGCGGGUGGGGACACCUUCCACCAUCCCAGCUUGCUCCAAGGCCUGUCCAACCUUGCAGGGAUGGGUGUCAGCACGGAGCCCCAGCCACAGAGCCCCUGUGGCCCCAGCCCCACCUUCAGCUCCUGCAGCUUGAGGCGGAGGUGGAUGAGGCGGACCACGGCGUCCUUCUGCCGCUCCGAGUGCUCGGGCAGCGCCAGGAUCACCCGCUUGCACUCCUCGAUGGCGCGGCGCAGCUGCGCCACGUCCGACGCCAGGAUCAGCCCCUGCCGGCACGCCACGGGAGGAGGAGGAGGGCCACGCCCCCCGCGCCUGCGCCCUGCUGCCCUCUGCCGGCCGGCAGACCGCACUGCGCCCGGGCGGGGCCGCACCGGGACAGCGGCACCGGGACAGCGGCACCGGGACAGCGGCACCGGGACAGCGGCACCGGGACAACGGCACAGGGACAGCGGCACCGGGACAGCGGCACCGGGACAGCGGCACCGGGACAGCGGCACCGUGACAGACACCUGCACCGGGACAGCGGCACCGGGACAUCGGCACCGGGACAGACACCGGCACCGGGACACCGGCACCGGGACACCCGCCCCGGGAC